UCUUUCUGACUUACUUCACUCUGCAUAUAUAAUAGGCUCUAAGUUCAUCUACCUCAUUAGAACUGACUCAAAUGCGUUCCUUUUAUAGCUGAGUCAUAUAUUCCAUUGUGUAUAUGUACCGCAUCUUCCUUAUCCCUUCAUCUGGUGAUGGACAUCUGGGUUGCCUCCCUGUCC